CAUUUUGGACAGUUUAUUUGUACAGAAUUACCAGUACUCAGAAGACAGAUCAGGGAAAAUAUUCCUCAAUAUUCAACAGAAUAACUUUCACAUUCAAUAAGCUGGGUGUGUAAAGGGCUCACAAUAAAUAGCUUUACAAGACCCUCAUAGUAGCGUCUUCCCUCUGUACCACCCAGGGUUGGCAUAGAGUCCACCUGAACACACAGGACCGAUAUAAUGUAUGGUCUUGUUCUCAUAUGUGCUAAAAAGUUCAGUGUUUUAAUAGUCAUUUUCUGCCAUUUACAUGAGGGAUGUUAUCAGCAUCAGAGCAAUCAAUCGUGGGCACAAAAUAUUACUAUAUUUCUAUCCUCAGUUUAUUGUAUUUGUUGAUAAUCUAAUAAUUAACAUUUAUAUACUAUAAACCUAUUGCUGUUCAUUUUUGGUGGAUCAUGUGAUGAUAAAACAGGGCUAUAUUUUUGGUGGGUUCUAACAUGCCAUAUAGAAGUGAUAUUGUGCUGGGUGGCAAAACAACGUGCCUUUUACUGUAAAUUGCUGCAGUUUAUGAUGCAUUUGCCUAUAUGGCUUCUACAGAUACAAGCCGAUAGAACUUGUUUCAUCUAAAGACAGCAUCACAAGACCGCCACAGUUUGCUGAGCAAUGCAUGGGUGAGAAUGUACUCUUUGGCCAUCAGUAACCCGCUUCUUGGAAUCAUUAAAGGGGUUGGCCCAUCUCAUACAAUGGGAGCAUAUCGCUAGGAUAUGCCCCCAAUGUCUGAUAGAUGCAGGUCUCAGAGGUUGGAUCCGCACCUAUCUUUAGAAAACAGUCCGCAAAGUGAAGAGCUAAUCACGCAUGUGUGGCCACCCUCCAUUCAUUUUUAUGGGAGUGCUGAAAAUAUUCCGUCAGCCCCAUGAAAGUGAAUGGAGCGGUGGCCACGCUUGCGCUUCCUAUUAAUUUCUAUCAGACUUCUGAAAAUAGCCAAAAUGCGCUGCUCAACUAUUUUCUGCACUCCCAUAGAAAUAAAUGUAGGGUGGCUGCGCAUGCACAAUCACCCUCUAUUCUCUUUUCUAACGAUAGGUGCGAGUUCCAGAGAUGGGACCUGCACCUAUCCGACAUCCGGAUGGCCAACCUGCCUACAGCUGAGCAUCGUGGGAAUUUUAGUUUUACAACAGCUGAAGGUUGGCCAUCCCUGUCCUAGUGGAAUACAAGCUGAACGCCUUAAAUCCACAAGGACAUUUGGGAGGUUGGGGAAAAGUAUGCAAUGAGACGUGCACAAGUUUGGGAAUAAAUAUGGACAAGGAUUUUACUGGAUUUUUUUAUAUAUUUACAUCAGUAGAAUAGAACAUUUACAGCCAUGUCCAGGUGAGCGCCAGCAGUAUUCUCAAUAUACAGAUAUUUAACAGAGCACAAGGCUAAUUCUACACACCUAUAAAAUCACAUUUAUUCAUCAAAUCAAUAUAUUUAUAUCUGAACAUUAAUCUGCAUAUUAGAGGCUAUUAUGGUAGGGAGCAUUUACAUUAACGACAUGAAAUCACACUUAGCAGAUUUUUUAUGCAUAUACAGUGCUGAAAUCUGUGUGUAUUCAGAGUGCCACUGAUUGCAAUGGGAGUCAGAGCCGUAGUGAAUACAGCACUGAUUUUUUUUAUUCUUAUGCAGAUUUCAAAUUGCAGAAAAAAAAAGUGACAAACUGUGGGCAGGUCGACACACACAGAUUAGCUCUACUGUGGCGGGCAGGUCGACACACACAGAUUAGCUCUACUGUGGCUAAACCACAGUAUGACAGACUGCAAGUCUGCAGUAUGAGGAUUUGCCUCGGAUUCUGCUGUCAGAUUUUUCCACCACAUAUUUCAAACCACAGUUUGUUGCAUGCCGCCAUUUACACCUUGCCCAUUAACCCCAUUUUGGGCUUGUACUAGUGGUUAAGCUAUUGUAGGUGCAUUCUACUAAGCUAGUCUUCUUGAUUAAACAGAAUCUGCCUACCCAACAUAAUUAUAGAUCAGAUGGAUAGCAGCAUCUUCCAGUAAUAUAUGGGACCUCAUGUAUUAAUAUUGUCUUGGACAUGUUGCCAAAAGCAACCUGGAAUUUUUCUAAGCUGCCCUGGGCAUGAAGCAUGGAUUGGGUAACAAGGUUACGCUUCUCCAUAUCGUAAGCAGAGAGAUAGGAUGCUCAUUAGUCUGCUGACUCCAUGUUAAGGUUAUAAAUUAGCAGAAUAGGAGGAGAGAAGAGACACUGAGGGGUGGAAGGAGGACGUUUGGCCUUUAAUGAUCAUUUUCCAUUUAAAAAAGGAUAAAAAUGCACAAUACAAAGUAAGGGUACGGCCACACGGUCAGGUAUCCUGAUGCCGUUUUGGAAGCCAAAAUCAGGAGUGGAUCAUAAAAGGACAGCACGUAUAAAGGACACAUUUGACUUCUCUUAAAUUCACUCCUGAUUUUGGCUUCCAAAACUGCAUGCAGAAACCCAACCAUGUGGCCAUAACCUAAGGGCUGAAGUGC